rnacentral:other from 1 species
UCCCUGGUGUGUUGGCCAGUCGGUGAUGUCCCUGAGCCGAUAAUCGCAACAACGGAGGUUGCCAGUUGGGCUGGUGUGCAUGUCCGCACGACGGAAAGCCUUAAAGCCUACUGCAACCGCCACCUUGAACUUUCGGGUUCAAGGGCUAACCCGACAGCGGCAUGUCCGGGGAG